rnacentral:rRNA from 1 species
AUACUCCCGAGAGACCGAUAGCGAACCAGUACCGUGAGGGAAAGGUGAAAAGCACCCCGGGAGGGGAGUGAAACAGUACCUGAAACCGUGCGCCCACAAACCGUCGGAGCCUCUGUGUGGGGUGACGGCGUGCCUAUCGAAAAAUGAGUCUGCGAGUCAGUGGCGGGUGGCGAGCAUAAGCCGUGUGGCGUAUGCGUAGCGAAAGCGAGUCUUAAAAGGCGUUUUUAGUCGCUUGUCCUGGACCCGAAGCGGGAUGAUCUAGCCCUGGGCAGGUUGAAGCGCGGGUAAGACCGCGUGGAGGACCGAACCCACCUGGGUUGAAAACCGGGGGGAUGACCUGGGGCUAGGGGUGAAAGGCCAAUCAAAUUCCGUGAUAGCUGGUUCUCUCCGAAAUGCAUUUAGGUGCAGCGUCGGUCGAUUGCGUCGCGGGGGUAGAGCUACCGGAUGCUUGCGGGCCCUUGUUGGGUACCAACAGCAGCCGAACUCCGAAUACCGUUGACGUGUAUUCCGGCAGUGAGUCGGCGGGGGAUAAGCUCCGUCGUCGAGAGGGAGACAGCCCAGACCGUCGUCUAAGGUCCCGAAGCGUGUGCUAAGUGGGAAAGGAUGUGGAGUCGCAUAGACAGCCAGGAGGUUGGCUCAGAAGCAGCCAUCCUUGAAAGAGUGCGUAACAGCUCACUGGUCUAGUGGUUCCGCGCCGACAAUGUAGCGGGGCUCAAGCACACCACCGAAGACGCGGCAGCAAUCUUCAUGGUUGCUGGGUAGGAGAGCGUCCUGCAUGGGGCGAAGCGGCCGGGUAACCGUGCCGUGGACCGUGUGGGAGUGAGAAUGCAGACAUGAGUAGCGAGAGACGGGUGAGGAUCCCGUCCGCUGGAUGACCAAGGGUUCCGGGGCCACGUUCGUCGUCCCCGGGUGAGUCGGGUCCUAAGGCGAGGCCGACAGGCGUAGUCGAAUGGAUGAACGGGUGGAUAUUCCCGUACCGACCAUGGACCGGCAAAACCGAGACGGUGAGUACUAACCUCCGCCUCGUGGUGGUUCCUUCCUUCGGGUUGGUUCCGCCGCGUGGUGUUGGGAGCGUAGCCGCAGUAGGUCAGCGCAGGGGUGACACGGAAUGGGAGCCGGCCGCGGAGGUGGUUUUCCGUGGUCAAGCACGCAGCCAGUCAUGUAGGCAAAUCCGCAUGGCGUGCAUGGCGAGGUGUGAUGAUGGGAGCCGUUAUGGCUCGAUAUCCGGUUGUCCAGGCCGUCGAGAAAAGCCUCGGCGUGAGGGCCAUGGCCGCCCGUACCCCAAACCGACACUGGUGGUCAGGUAGAGAAUACCAAGGCGAUCGAGCGAAUCCUGGUCAAGGAACUCGGCAAAUCACUCCCGUGCCUUCGGUAUAAGGGAGACCCGCUGGGGUGAACCGGCUAGCCCGGGGAGCUUUGGUGGGUGGCACAGACCAGGGGGUAGCGACUGUUUACCAAAAACACAGGUGCAUGCGAAGGCGAAAGCCGCUGUAUAUGCACUGACGCCUGCCCGGUGCCGGAAGGUUAAGAGGAUCCGUCAGUCCUUCGGGAUGAAGCGGUGAAUUCAAGCCCCGGUAAACGGCGGUGGUAACUAUAACCAUCCUAAGGUAGCGAAAUUCCUUGUCGGGUAAGUUCCGACCUGCACGAAUGGCGUAACGACUUCCCCACUGUCUCGACCAGGAGCUCGGCGAAAUUGCAGUACGAGUAAAGAUGCUCGUUAAGCGCAGAAGGACGAAAAGACCCCGGGACCUUUACUAUACCUUGGUAUUGGCGUUAGGCGCGGAUUGUGUAGCAUAGGCGGGAGGCUUCGAAGCGGGUGCGCCAGCAUUCGUGGAGCCGCAAGGUGAAAUACCGCUCUGUUCUCGUUUGACGUCUAACCUCGACAAGUCAUCCUUGUCAGGGACAGUGCCUGGCGGGUAGUUCAACUGGGGCGGUUGCCUCCCAAAGAGUAACGGAGGCGCUCAAAGGUCCGCUCAGCCCGGUUGGCAAUCGGGUGUCGAGUGUAAUCGCACAAGCGGGCUUGACUGCGAGGACGACGGUCCGAGCAGGGACGAAAGUCGGAGAUAGUGAUCCGGUGCCGGCGCACGGGCGCGGCAUCGCUCAACGGAUAAAAGUUACCCCGGGGAUAACAGGCUGAUCAUUCCCAAGAGUCCAUAUCGACGGGAUGGUUUGGCACCUCGAUGUCGGCUCGCCGAUUAAAGCGGCACGCGAGCUGGGUUCAGAACGUCGUGAGACAGUUUGGUCUCUAUCCUCUGCGCUCGUUGGAAUCCUGAGGAGGCCUGCCCAUAGUACGAGAGGACCUGGGUGGACGAACCUCUGGUAUGCCGGUUGUCGCGCCAGCGGCACGGCCGGUUGGCUACGUUCGGGAGGGAUAACCGCUGAAAGCAUCUAAGCGGGAAGCCUGCUCCAAGAUUAGGAUUCCGUACGGUCUUGAACCGUUGU